GACGAACGCUGGCGGCGUGCUUAACACAUGCAAGUCGAACGAAGAGCGAUGGAAGCUUGCUUCUAUCAAUCUUAGUGGCGAACGGGUGAGUAACGCGUAAUCAACCUGCCCUUCAGAGGGGGACAACAGUUGGAAACGACUGCUAAUACCGCAUACGAUCUAAUCUCGGCAUCGAGGAUAGAUGAAAGGUGGCCUCUACAUGUAAGCUAUCACUGAAGGAGGGGAUUGCGUCUGAUUAGCUAGUUGGAGGGGUAACGGCCCACCAAGGCGAUGAUCAGUAGCCGGUCUGGGAGGAUGAACGGCCACAUUGGGACUGAGACACGGCCCAGACUCCUACGGGAGGCAGCAGUGGGGAAUCUUCCGCAAUGGACGAAAGUCUGACGGAGCAACGCCGCGUGAGUGAUGACGGCCUUCGGGUUGUAAAGCUCUGUUAAUCGGGACGAAAGGCCUUCUUGCGAAUAGUGAGAAGGAUUGACGGUACCGGAAUAGAAAGCCACGGCCAACUACGUG
rnacentral:rRNA from 1 species